UUAGGAAUCUUGCGCAAUGGACGAAAGUCUGACGCAGCGACGCCGCGUGCGGGAUGAAGGCCCUCGGGUUGUAAACCGCUUUCAGUAGGGACGAAAUUGACGGUACCUGCAGAAGAAGCCCCGGCCAACUACGUGCCAGCAGCCGCGGUAAUACGUAGGGGGCAAGCGUUGUCCGGAUUUAUUGGGCGUAAAGAGCUCGUAGGUGGUUCGGUAAGUCGGAUGUGAAAUCUCCAGGCUCAACCUGGAGGGGUCAUUCGAUACUGCCGUGACUAGAGUUCGGUAGGGGAGUGUGGAAUUCCUGGUGGAGCGGUGAAAUGCGCAGAUAUCAGGAGGAACACCCGUAGCGAAGGCGGCACUCUGGGCCGAUACUGACACUGAGGAGCGAAAGCGUGGGGAGCGAACAGGAUUAGAUACCCUGGUAGUCCACGCCGUAAACGUUGGGCACUAGGUGUGGGGUUCUAUCGACGGACUCCGUGCCGUAGCUAACGCAUUAAGUGCCCCGCCUGGGGAGUACGGCCGCAAGGCUAAAAC
rnacentral:rRNA from 1 species